CUGGAGGGGUCUGGAGAAAAUUUAUCCGUUGGAGGGGUCUGGUUGGCACUGUUGAAGUCCGAUUGGCACUGUCGAAGGUUGAUGGCUGGAGAGGUACGGAAGACACCGGAGACAGUUGGUCACUAUAGAAAUUCAGCUGCUGGAGCUCGUUCGUUGUAGAAGUUCGUUUGGAAUCCAUCUGCUGUAGAAGUUCAGACGGAGUUCGGUUCUUGUAGGAGUUCGGAAGGAGGCCGCUUACUGUAGAAGCUCGGAUGGAGAUCGAUUGCCGUGGAAGUCCGAAUGGAGACCAC
rnacentral:lncRNA from 1 species